GAUGAACGCUGGCGGCGUGCCUAACACAUGCAAGUCGAACGGAGUCCAGCCUUUAAGACCUUCGGGUCAAAGAGGGGAAGACUGAGUGGCGGACGGGUGAGUAACACGUGGGCAACCUGGCUCAUAGAGGGGGAUAACAGAGAGAAAUUUCUGCUAAUACCGCAUAAGCACACACUGCCGCAUGGCAGAGGGUGAAAAGAGAAUCGCUAUGAGAUGGACCCGCGUCUGAUUAGCCAGUUGGCAGGGUAAGAGCCUACCAAAGCGACGAUCAGUAGCCGAUCUGAGAGGAUGAACGGCCACAUUGGGACUGAGACACGGCCCAAACUCCUACGGGAGGCAGCAGUGGGGGAUAUUGCACAAUGGGGGGAACCCUGAUGCAGCGACGCCGCGUGAGUGAAGAAGUAUUUCGGUAUGUAAAGCUCUAUCAGCAGGGAAGAUAAUGACAGUACCUGAAUAAGAAGCCCCGGCCAACUACGUG
rnacentral:rRNA from 1 species